GUUUUUAUAGUGUAAGGCAAACAUAUUGUUUUUUCAAGACAAAGAUAAAAAUUUUUAAAAACA
rnacentral:tRNA from 1 species